GGACAGGUGCUCGCUAUACAGGACCGGAACAGUCAGUUUAAUUUAUGGAAGUUCCCAGGGGGUCUCUCCAAUCUGGAGGAAGAUAUCGGUGACACUGCAGUCAGAGAAGUAUUCGAAGAAACGGGAAUAAAAUCAGAGUUCCUGUCCAUGUUGGCCCUCAGACAACAGCACAAACAGCCGGGAGCUUUCGGGAGAUCAGACAUAUUUAUCUUGUGUCGUUUACGACCUUUAACCUUUGACAUUCGACCUUGUUCCCGUGAAAUAAAAGCAUGUCAAUGGAUGGACAUUGCAGACGUACAAAAACGGAGCGGGUUCUCGGCAUUCAUGAGGAAAGUCACUGGGAUGGCGAUGUAUGGUAUUAAACAUGGGUUCCAGGAUCUGGACAUUAAGUAUGAAGAAAUGGAGUCGGUUUAUAAAGGACUUCGAUAUAAACUGUACCACCGACCCGUACCGUCAGACACACAGAUAAGGUGAAUUAUUCGCCGUGAUAGCAUCAACGCAGGCCGUGCUCUUUUAAAGUUUAGAUAGACACAGGUUCUUUAAAACUCCAGGUUUUAUAUUUGAAUAAAAUUGUUUAUUCAC
rnacentral:misc_RNA from 1 species